CAGGAAUCCAAUGGAAAAUGGCUGAUGCUAGGGCUGAAGCAGAAAGAUGGAGUCUUGCUCUGUCACCCAGGCUGGAGUUCAAUGGCAAAAUCUCACUCACUGAAACCUCUGCCUCCCCGGUUCAAGUUAUUCUCCUGCCUGAGCCUCCCUAGUAGCUGGAUUACAGGUACCUACCACCACAUCUGGCUAAUUUUGUGUUUUUAGUAGAGACAGGGUUUCACCAUGUUGGCCAGGCUGGUCUCAAACUGCUGACCUCAAGUAAUUUGCUUGCCUCAGCCUCCCAAAGUGCUGGGAUUACAGGCAUGAACCACCGAACCCGGCCUCCCUUUUCUUAAUCUUUCUUUAAUUCACACGGAAAAUUAAUGUGAGAUAGGGACUAUUAUUUUCAGUG
rnacentral:lncRNA from 1 species